UCGUGACAGAAAUGGUGGAGGCGCCGGGUAGGUUCUAUUUCUGGAGAGAGAGAGAGGUAGAUUUUUAUGUUUAUUAUUAAGUUAGUUUCAGCUUCUGAUAGCAGGUUAUUAAGAGUUUACUUGAGGAGAGGAUUACGGAAUUUUAGUCUAUAGUGGAGGAAGUCUUUGAGAUUUUUUUUUUGACGUAACAGAUGUUUAUUUGAGGAUACUUGUAAGGAUAAAGUUUAUAGUGAUAAGUUGUUUUAAGUCGUUGAAUUUAUUGUAGAUUUAUAUCGGGGAUUAUUACGUGAGGAGAAUACGUUAUAAGUUAAAUGCUUAUUAGAGAUAAUGCAAGUGGUUUAAUUUAAUUGAAGUUCAUUUUAAGAUUGUAGGUUAAGAGAAUUAUAAUUUAAAAUAAAGUUUUUUGUCGUAAAUAGGAAUUAUUUUCAAGUGAAGUUUGUUUUGUUUUCGUGCGCGUAGGAGACGAGACGUACGAAUUAAAUCAGUCGAGGGAAGGAUAAACGUUAGAAAGGAAUUAAAGAGAAAACGAGAGUUUAUGUAAAAGAGAGUUAUAGAAUUUAUAGUGAUGUUUUGUUUUAAUUAGAAAAAUGUUGAGAGUUGUUUCAGAACGACACGUCAGUGGACGUGGCAGAGUGAACACGUGACGGGGAGGUGCUGAGACCUAGCGGAGAACGGAGGAACCGCAAGCGAGGGUUGGCGCACCUGAUGGAAUUCGGUGACGUCACGGGCUCAUACGGAGACGUGGACAGGCCGUGACCUUGUUUUGAUCAGCUGUACGGUAACUUAGCGAUAAGAAAAUAGACUAUUGGUUAAAUAAAUUUAAAUUUAAGUGUGUUUUAGAAGAAGAGGAACUUUCAGUAUAUUCCUUAAGAUGAGCUGAGCAGCAGUCCAGUUUACAAGAUGACAAGAGUUCGAGAGACAAGAUACAAGAUCACUGAAACAAGAGCCAAGACUGAAGAUUCAAGAGAAGAGAAAGCUGGCAGCCAUGGACUUACAAGUGGAGAUUAAUAAGGUCAUGUAAAGUUUUAUUUUUUUUAUGGAAGACAGUAACUGGAGUUUUUUUUUUGUUAUAAACAUUAUUUACAGAACUUUUUAGGUUAUAGUAAUGUAAUGGAACUAGUGAGUUGUGGUAGCUGUCAAAAAGAACUAAUACCUUAAGUUUAAUUUUUAAAGUUAAUUUUCUUAAUUUACAGAGGGAUUAGUAGUUUUUUUAAACCUUAUUUAGGUUGGAAUUUAAAUACAAUAGCUUAUUAUAAAUGUGUACGAACAGUUCAAGUUCACAGUACUGAUAGGUAGGUCAGAUGAUCUUAUUGAUUUUGAUGAUUUGUUGUUUUGAGUUGAUUUUUAAGUGUUGUGAAUUAGACAAUGAAAUAGUUCUGAAAACUUAAAUUAUUUCAAGCUAAGAAAUAGUAAAGUUAAUUGUAACUCAAAGGACACCAGAAUUUAAUUUUUUUUUGAAUUAGUAAUGUUUGAAAAUUUUAUACUUUACAAAAAAAGGUUAUAAACAAACAGAUCGGAUGGAACAAGGAUGCAGUAAAUCACAAUUUCAUUUAGAAUUAUUGAUUAGCUUUUGAGGUUAUGAAGUAAAAGUAAUUAUAGUUUAAAAGUUUGAAUAAAAAAAAAUGUUUUUUUUUAUUUGUUUGAAAUAGAAAGUUUAAAAGUUAAUUAGUCAUGAUCUAGGUGGGUGAUGGGGUGGGAAUUGGCCACUCUUUUUCCCUAUAACCUCCCUAACAUGGCCUUCUAUUACAACUAACAGAAAUAAAGAAGAAGAAAAAUGAAGAAUUAUUAGUUAGAAUGUUUCUUUCAUGAAGAUACCUGAUGAACUUUUACUGUUUGGAAGAAUAGAAGCAAGGUUAGUCAGAUAUUUUUACUCAGAAGAAGAAGAAGAUAAAGCAGUUUUAUGACUCGACAAGCCAGAGAUUGGUGUUUCCCCUCUGCGCUUCUAUUGACUACGUUGUUUACUCUCAUGGGAUAGCUGGUUCGGCACCAUGGAGAGAGAUUGGUGGGCAUUGUGGUUGCCCCCAGAAGAAAAGAAGAGUAGAAGAGGUUAUGGGUGGGUCAUGUGAACUGACCUUCAACCCAGUUACUUCGUGGGGACUAUUUGCUGUAUAGAGAAGAUCAAGACUCAAGAGGUAGGGAAAAUCAUUGGAGGUCAUGUUUCCCUUCCUUAAGUUUUUCCUAUCAAAUUAUUUGCCUGAUUAGAUUAUGCUAAGGGUGGGAUACUUUAUGUUAGCAGUUGAAUUAAUUAAUUUUAUUUUUUUGUGUGUUUGCAUCCUUGCCCAUCGAUUGCAGUUUAGUAGUUAGUUUUGUAUUUGUCAGGCGUGAUGGUAAUGCCUGUUGAUGAUGUUUCAGAAUUGUAAUCUGUUCGUGAUGAGGAUGGCACAACUCCGAAGCAGAUGUGGGGAGAAGUUGUGAGCUGCCCUGGAAGCCAGUCCAGUAGCUGUUGGAGUUGAGUGGUGUUUGCUGAUGGCCAGCCCAGGGAGCUACUCUUCUCGACAACACUGACUUCGAGGAGUUGCACCAACCUUCACGAGAUAAGAGUUUAAUUAAUUGAAACACUGUAAGGACACUUAAUUUUUUUUGAAGAACGAAAGAAGUAUGGUAAUAAACGGAAACCGAAAAAAAAAAAAUAAUAAUAAUUAUCAAGAAUUUGCACAUUGUUUAACGAAUACUGAGAAACUAAGAACAGUAAUUUAAUUUGUAAAGAGAGCUUCACUAACAGAACAAUUUUUUUAGAAUUGAGAACUCGAGCCUCUGAAGGUUCCUGUGAGAACAAACCAGAUAAAAGUUUUACAUUUAAUUUUAUGAAUACUUGUUGUUUUAAAAUAAAUCUUAUGCAGAAUCUAGAUGUAUGUUCAGACAGCAAGGAACUAAGAAAAUUAUUAUUUUUGUGAAAUGAGGAAUUUAUAGUUAUGGUUUAAUGGAAAAAGACAAUUUGUAAUUUUGAGGUAGCUCGAUGGGGCUCGAGCUCUGUGAGGGGAGGGUUAUGUCGCGGGUUGAAAUUUUGCAGGGUUGUUGAAAUCAAAUUUAGGGACUUUACUGACGGGACUCUGGGCUGGCUGCUCUGUUCACUCGUCAGCGCAAGUGGCGUGACCAUGUAAUUGGGGCACGGAGCCGGCGCGGCGCGCUGCGGGCUUGCAGAAUUUUGUUUGUUUGUUUGGCCGCGCGCUGGCGCAGCCACUGGCCGCAGUUACUGGGGCGCGCUGUCGUAACAAGCCGCGCGGUGUGGCCUGCACAUUGGGGUAGAGGGGGGGUAGUCUUCCCAGAUGUUCUAGUUAGUUGUUUAGUAAAUUUGACUUCAAUAACGAGCUUUUGUUAUGCUAGGCGCGGCAGGGCGCGCGAAUUUAAGCGCAAGUGAUUGGUGACUCGGGGCUCACUCAGGCGGAGGCUAUGCGUCUCACCUGUGGUCACGAGUUGUUAGUUCGUUCGUGAUGUAGGAAUUCAAGCUUACUCAGGCGGAGGCUAUGCGUCUCACCUGUGGUCACGAGUUGUUAGUUCGUUCGUGAUGUAGGAAUUCAAGCUUUCGGGCGGAAGCUAUGGUCGACGCCAGAGGCCACGAGUCGUUUAAUUUAAGUUAGGUCAUAAUGUAGUCGUCAAGCUUUCGGGCGGAGGCUAUGGCCCUCGUCAGGGGUCACGCGUCAUAGUUUUUAAAAUGUAAUGUUCGUUCGGGAUUUCAAGGGCAGGAGAGGCCCCUACGUUAUUUUUUUAAAGUAAUCGAUCAAGAAAGGCUUUUCGGAAAAUGUGAGUAUGGACUUAUCUUUGUUUUAAUUUUAAGUAUUAAUUAUGAUUUGAGGUAUUCGGAAGGACUAGGGAAGUGUUUAGUGAAGUUCUCUCAUUCUCUCUCUUGUAAGGUCGUUCAAUCGUUAAGGAAGUAAAGAGAUUAUUGUUUUAAAUUGUAA